UACGUAGGUGGCAAGCGUUGUCCGGAAUGACUGGGCGUAAAGGGUGCGUAGGCGGUCUAUUAAGAUAGAAGUGAAAUCCUUGGGCUCAACCCAAGAACUGCUUUUAUUACUGAUGGACUCGAGUGAUGGAGAGGUAAAUGGAAUUCCUAGUGUAGCGGUGGAAUGCGUAGAUAUUAGGAGGAACACCAGAGGCGAAGGCGAUUUACUGGACAUUAACUGACGCUGAUGCACGAAAGCGUGGGGAGCAAACAGG
rnacentral:rRNA from 1 species